CCUAGGGGAGGCAGCAGUGAGGAAUAUUGGUCAAUGGGCGCGAGCCUGAACCAGCCAAGUCGCGUGAGGGAGGACGGCCCUACGGGUUGUAAACCUCUUUUGCCGGGGAGCAACGGGCGUCACGUGUGGCGCCACUGAGAGUACCCGGAGAAAAAGCAUCGGCUAACUCCGUGCCAGCAGCCGCGGUAAUACGUAUGGUGCAAGCGUUAUCCGGAUUUACUGGGUGUAAAGGGAGCGCAGGCGGCACGGAAAGCCGGAUGUGAAAGCCCGCGGUCCAACCGCGGGACUGCAUUGGGAACUACCGGGCUGGAGUGCCGGAGAGGUAGGCGGAAUUCCUAGUGUAGCGGUGAAAUGCGUAGAUAUUAGGAGGAACACCAGUGGCGAAGGCGGCCUACUGGACGGUGACUGACGCUGAGGCUCGAAAGCGUGGGGAGCAAACAGGAUUAGAUACCCCUGUAGUC
rnacentral:rRNA from 1 species